ensembl:lncRNA
GUUCUGAGGGGUCAUUCUAGGAAAUCGGGAGAGGCUGGGAGUACCUGGGAGUGUUCCAUCAAGAAAGUGGACAGGACAGGACUUCCCUGAUGGUGCAGUGGCACGAUUCCAGGCUUCCAGUGCAUUCUAUCAUGGCUGUGUGCUGAGUCACUUCAGUCGAGUCCAGUUCUUUGCGACUCUAUGGACCAUAGCCCGCCAGACUCCUCUGUCCGUGGGAUUCUCCAGGCAAGUAUACUGGAGUGGGUUGCCACACCCUCCUCCAAGGGAUCUUCCUGGCCCUGGGACAGAACCUGUGCUUCUUACAUCUCCUGCAUUGACAGGCCCGUAAUGUCUUUCCCUUGCCUACGCAGCCCCUCCGAAUGGUACGGCCCGCACGACUUCCCUCCCGCCCUCCUCGCCCG